UCUGGGGUGAACUGCUUACCCACGAGGAAAAGGGCUGGGGAUCUGUGCUGAAAGGGGGGGCAUGCAGUAGGAGGAUACUCAAGACCCACAGGGACUGUCCGCACAUCUGUCACCUCUACCUGCCGCAAGGUGUUCCAUGAAGAGCUCCCCCGCCCCCCGUGAGGACCAGGGCCAGAGACGCCCUCAUCUUCCAUGGUACGUGUGGUUUGCCUUUCACUUUAGGCUUCAGUCCAGCCGCAGUCGGUGGAUAAGGAAGUCCCUUUAGGUCACAGGAUGAACCGCGAGCAGGCAGUGCCCCAAGCCAGGCAUUGUAUCAGCAAUCAGCAGUUCUAGUCACCAGAGGGUGGCUGUGCUGAGCCGCUACUUCUGGGGACCACUGUAUAGGUGUGAUGGUCAAUUUUAUAUGUCCACUCGCCUAGGCCAUGGGAAGAGCAAAUAUUCUCAAUAUGAUUGUGAGGGUGUUUGGGGUUAAAUUAACAAUUGGAUUGGCAGACUAAGUCAAAUGACCUUCCCAAGUGGGGGCCUCGUCUAAUCAGCUGAAGGCCUGAACUGAACUUUUAAGGCUGACCUCCCCUCUCAGCCCAGCUGGACCAUCUGUCUUUUGCUGUCCUACCUACACUGCCCACUCCUCUUGCCGCCUACAGAUGUUGGGACUUCUCGGCCUCCAUUACCAGGUGAGCCAACUUCUUACAAUAAAUAUCACAUUAUAUAUGAUCCCUAGAUAGAGAGAUCAUGCCUAGUAUGCAUUGUAAGUCUCAGCCAUCACUGGUUCCGUUUCCCUAAUACAGGAAGGUUAUUCAAACUGUCAGUGGUUGGUCACCAAAGGGUCCUAUAAUGGAGCUCUUUGAUCCAGAACAACUGGAAGAAUUCCGCUGUCUCCCUCACAGGGACGAGCCCCACUGAGCACCACCGUUUGGGGGUCACUUGGUAGGUGGUUUCUAAGGAAACCAGCUGGUGGCUCCCAUAUGCUAACAUGGGUGUCACAGACUGAAAUGGGUCCUGCUCCCACGCUGCCGUCUGCAGGACCUGCUGGGAGCUCCUGUGGGCCUCGUGUCCUGUUGACGCCCGUGUUCUAAUGUAAGCCCUGUCACGGGGCACACUCCAGGUGGGAAGCGCUGAGACUUGACUGGUGGAAGCAUCGGACGCAUCUCAUCUCCGGGAACCUCCACGUGCCACUGGCCAGUCUCCCUCCAGCAUCUGCUUCCCGGAGCCAUUAAAGGCUCAUACAUCUUUCAAGCCCAGCAUUACUCAAGGACAAAGGUGACAGCUCGAUUUCUGAAAUCCAGCUGAGGCCAAAGCAGAUCCAAGGUCAGAAAGGCCCACAACCAAAGUUGUCACUAGCUGCUGGGUGGAGUGGCCCCUGCCAGGCCCAGGGGCAAUGGACCAAGCCCUCAGCUCUGGGUGGGUGGAGGAGUCCUGCACCCUCUCCGUUCCUCCCAGUGUAGCUCAAGGUCCCAGAGCUGGGACACAUGCUCCUGUACGCGCUGUGUCUGUCCCAAUCUGUGUGGACCCCGCUGGAGAGUGGAGCUCAUGUUUUCCAUCUUAUACCAAAACACGUUUGCAUAGGGACACAGGUGCACACCUACACGUGUAUACGGGACACAUCCACCCACAAGGAGCCUGCACCUUGGCCCCGAGCACACACAUGAAUAUAUGCACACACAUGAAAAUCUGCAUGGGCCAACACGUAUGAGUGUGCAUCUACAGGUGAGCACACGUGUGCACACCCUCCCCAAGAGACCCACCUACCCCAAAGUUGAUCAAGGUCACAGACUGUGCUGGAGGUCAGCAGCCCGGGGAGCUGAGGAGAGCGCUGCAGACAGGGGGGGCUGUGCCUCCUGAAGCCACCCAGCACCCGUCCCCGCCACCCCCUCCCCGCCUUCUCUGCCUCCUCCUGCCUGGGACAAAGCAGGCCCUGCACUGGGCUGCCUGGACCCUCGCAGUGCUUGUUCUCUUUGGGAGGCUUUACGGCCCCAAGAUGGCCUCAAGGUGUGCUGUGAGAAUUCUGAUGCCACUUGCUCCAUCACUGACUUUGUAAAACCUCUUCCUAGAGUGAGAACCGGUGCCUCUCAAAUGCCGUCUUGAGGCCCAUAUUCCCAAGAUCCAAAAUCAGAGAUGGUCACAAGUCCCGAAAAUUAGAAUCCUGAAUGUCGAGACCCUGAAAGCCGAAAUCCCAAAACCCACCAUCCAAAGACAGAGGCACCGCGUGGGAAGUGAGCGCGGACACUUCUCUGAGGAGAGCUCUGCCCCAAGAGAAGAAAGGCAGCCCUUCACUGCCCCUCAGGAGCUCAAACCAGCCGAGGACGAGGACGGAGAGACCCGGCAGCCAGGGCCACCUCCGCGCAGGCCCCGGUGCCCCCCCGAAGUGCACUUUGUCGGCGUUAUAUGUUUUUAUGAUUCUCUAUGCUACGAAUUUCGUUUUUGCACCAAGCCCAAUACUAGAGGUAGAGGUCGCACAAAGACUCCAGGGGUUCUGACCCACUCGAUGCCUUCUUUGACUCCUCAGAAGUGUAUCAGCACAACCCUUGCUUUGUGCAUAAGCAUUGUGUGUGUGUGUGUGUGUGUGUAAAAAUGUGGAAGCUUGGGCUGGGAAUGUGGCUCAAGUGGUAGCGUGCUCGCCUAGCAUGCGUGAGGCACUGGGUUCGAUUCUCAGUAUCACAUAAAAAUAAAAUAAAGAUAUUGUGUCCACCUAAAAAAACUGAAAAAUAAAAAAAUUUUUAAAAUG